CCAAUGUUAAGUAGCUCAGUGGUUAGAGCAUCUGGCAUAUAUUUUGGAGCAGUAGGGGGACCUGGGUUCAAAUCCCGGAUAUUGUC